rnacentral:rRNA from 1 species
CAAUAGCGUAUAUUAAAGUUGUUGCGGUUAAAAAGCUCGUAGUUGGAUUUCUGCCGAGGACGACCGGUCCGCCCUCUGGGUGUGUAUCUGGUUUGGCCUGGGCAUCUUCUUGGAGAACGUAGCUGCACUUGACUGUGUGGUGCGGUGUCCAGGACUUUUACUUUGAGGAAAUUAGAGUGUUUCAAGCAGGCACACGCCUUGAAUACAUUAGCAUGGAAUAAUAAGAUAGGACCUCGGUUCUAUUUUGUUGGUUUCUAGAGCUGAGGUAAUGAUUAAUAGGGAUAGUUGGGGGCAUUCGUAUUUAACUGUCAGAGGUGAAAUUCUUGGAUUUGUUAAAGAUGGACUACUGCGAAAGCAUUUGCCAAGGAUGUUUUCAUUGA